GUAGGUGGCAGCGUUGUCCGGAAUUAUUGGGCGUAAAGCGCGCGCAGGCGGUUCUUUAAGUCUGAUGUGAAAGCCCACGGCUCAACCGUGGAGGGUCAUUGGAAACUGGAGAACUUGAGUACAGAAGAGGAAAGCGGAAUUCCACGUGUAGCGGUGAAAUGCGUAGAGAUGUGGAGGAACACCAGUGGCGAAGGCGGCUUUCUGGUCUGUAACUGACGCUGAGGCGCGAAAGCGUGGGGAGCAAACAGGGAUUAGAUACCCUGGUAGUCCACGCCGUAAACGAUGAGUGCUAAGUGUUAGGGGGGUUUCCGCCCCCUUAGUGCUGCAGCUAACGCAUUAAGCACUCCGCCUGGGGAUACGACCGCAAGGUUG
rnacentral:rRNA from 1 species